rnacentral:rRNA from 1 species
GAUGAACGCUGGCGGUAUGCUUAACACAUGCAAGUCGAACGGUCACUUCGGUGGUAGUGGCGGACGGGUGGGUAACGCGUGAGAAUCUGUCUUCAGGUCGGGGACACCAGUUAGAAAUGACUGCUAAUACCGGAUGUGCCUUUGGGUGAAAGAUUUAUUGCCUGAAAAAGAGCUCGCGUCAGAUUAGCUAGUAGGUGGUGUAAGAGACUACCUAGGCUCCGAUCUGUAGCUGGUCUGAGAGGACGAGCAGCCACACUGGAGCUGAGACACAGUCCAGACUCCUACGGGAGGCAGCAGUGGGGAAUUUUCCGAAAUGGGGGAAAGCCUGACGGAGCAAUACCGCGUGAGGGACGAAGGCUGUUGGGUAGUAAACCUCUUUUCUCAAGGAAGAUGAUGACGGUACUUGAGGAAUAAGCAUCGGCUAACUCUGUG